AGCUUGCUCCGCUGACGAGUGGCGAACGGGUGAGUAAUGUAUCGGAACGUACCAUUCAGUGGGGGAUAACGUAGCGAAAGUUACCCUAAUACCGCAUAUUCUGUGCCCAGGAAAGCAGGGGAUCGCAAGACCUUGCGCUGAUUGAGCGGCCGAUAACAGAUUAGCUAGUUGGUGAGGUAAAAUCUUACCAAGGCGACGAUCUGUACCGGGUCUGAAAGGAUGAUCCGCCACACUGGAACUGACAGCCCGGCCACAUUCCUACUCCAGGCAGCAUUGGGGAAUUUCGGACAAUGGGGGCAACCCUGAUCCAACCAUGCCGCGUGAGUGAAGAACGCCUUCUGGUUGUAAAG
rnacentral:rRNA from 1 species